AGUUUCAUUUUCAUUUAAUUGUUUUCGGCACGUUGAGUGUGAAAAUUGAAAUGUGUCUGAAGGCGUUGGAGCUGUCAAGGGUUAAGGCGCGAGGUAGAAUCCGAGCUCGCUUCGGUGCAUCGCCAGACGACGACUUUUGUCUUCUACAGCCUUUGAUGGGGCUCGCCUAAUUAGCAUCGGGCCAAGGCAAAUUGCUUGUUAAUUAAAUAACGUCAAAACAUGAAAAGGAUUUCACCUUUUUUUCCUUUCUCUCCCGAAAAACGGUUCAAGUGGCAUCGAACCCAUUGACAGGCACUCAAGGUUUCAAAUGGAAAGGAAAAAUUGUCAAAUUACGGAAUUUACCUUCUAAAAAUAUAUUGAAGAGAAUUUGAGAAAUUCAGCAGCCAAAAUUAAAGACAACACGGAAUCCGCGGACUGUUAAGAGAAUAAUUGUUGAACGCCAAGCACAAGGAAAGAAAAAAAUAUCUAAAUAAAAACAGUAUUUAGCCAGCUAAAAAAGGAUCUCGUGAACUUCUCAAAUGAAAAUACUAUAAACUUGGAGAAUGCCAAAGGCUCUGUAUGCUAUUUUCAUGUCUAAGGAUUAAAAAAAAAAUGUAAUAUUAAAUGCAUAAAAUCUUAAA